rnacentral:rRNA from 1 species
CAGCAGCCACGGUAAUACGUAGGUGGCAAGCGUUGUCCGGAAUUAUUGGGCGUAAAGCGCGCGCAGGCGGAUCAGUUAGUCUGUCUUAAAAGUUCGGGGCUUAACCCCGUGAGGGGAUGGAAACUGCUGAUCUAGAGUAUCGGAGAGGAAAGUGGAAUUCCUAGUGUAGCGGUGAAAUGCGUAGAUAUUAGGAAGAACACCAGUGGCGAAGGCGACUUUCUGGACGAAAACUGACGCUGAGGCGCGAAAGCCAGGGGAGCGAACGGGAUUAGAUACCCGAGUAGUCCCUGUCUCUUAUACA